rnacentral:rRNA from 1 species
UAGGGAAUCUUCGGCAAUGGGGGGAACCCUGACCGAGCAACGCCGCGUGAGUGAAGAAGGUUUUCGGAUCGUAAAGCUCUGUUGUUAAGGAAGAACGAGUGUGAGAAUGGAAAGUUCAUGCUGUGACGGUACUUAACCAGAAAGGGACGGCUAACUACGUGCCAGCAGCCGCGGUAAUACGUAGGUCCCGAGCGUUGUCCGGAUUUAUUGGGCGUAAAGCGAGCGCAGGCGGUUAGAAAAGUCUGAAGUGAAAGGCAGUGGCUCAACCAUUGUAGGCUUUGGAAACUGUUUAACUGGAGUGAAGAAGGGGAGAGUGGAAUUCCAUGUGUAGCGGUGAAAUACGUAGAUAUAUGGAGGAACACCGGUGGCGAAAGCGGCUCUCUGGUCUGUAACUGACGCUGAGGCUCGAAAGCGUGGGGAGCGAACAGG